CCUACGGGUGGCAGCAGUGAGGAAUAUUGGGCAAUGGGGGCAACCCUGACCCAGCCAUGCCGCGUGAGUGAAGAAGGUCUUCGGAUUGUAAAGCUCUUUCGGACGUGACGAGGAUGACGGUAGCGGCGAAAGAAGCAACGGCAAACGUCGUGCCAGCAGCCGCGGUAAUACGAAGGGGGCGAGCGUUGUUCGGAAUUACUGGGCGUAAAGGGAGUGUAGGCGGAUAUGGAAGAUAGCGGUGAACUGCCGGGGCUCAACCCCGGAACUGCCAUUAUGACUAUGUAUCUAGAGUAAUGGAGAGGCUAGCGGAAUACCCAGUGUAGAGGUGAAAUUCGUAGAUAUUGGGUAGAACACCGGUGGCGAAGGCGGCUAUCUGGCCAUUUCCUGACGCUGAGGCUCGAAAGCCUGGGGAUCAAACAGGAUUAGAUACCCGUGUAGUC
rnacentral:rRNA from 1 species